rnacentral:lncRNA from 1 species
AUGACAGAGACUGAUGAAGCUCACCAUAUUACAGCUAAAAGAAUCAAGGAGGAAUAUCUGGAAGAUUUUUCAGAUGAUGAACCAUUGAGUAAAGUCUCAAAGAAACAUGAUCCAAAACCUCAGAGAUGGACCAAAACAGCAAACCUGCCAAUGAGACCCAGAAGAGAAAGGAGGGCAACAAUGAAAACGGUUAAUUAUAAAGAGGCUUCCAGUGACAGCUCUGACGAUACACUGACAGAGCAAAAGUCAACCAUGACAGAGACUGGUGAAGCUCACCAUAUUACAGCUAAAAGAAUCAAGGAGGAAUAUCUGGAAGAUACCACUGACGACUCAGAUGACGAAGCAGUGACAGAAAUGAAGACAACCAAGGCAGAGACUGGUGAAGCUCAUGAUUUCACUGCUAUAAUAAUCAAGGAGGAAUAUCUGGAAGACACCAUUGACAACUCAGAUGACGAAGCAGUGACAGGAAUGAAGACAACCAAGGCAGAGACUGGUGAAGCUCAUGAUAUCACUGCUAUAAGAAUCAAGGAGGAAUAUCUGGAAGAUACCACUGACAACUCAGAUGACGAAGCAGUGACAGGAAUGAAGACAACCAAGGCAGAGACUGGUGAAGCUCAUGAUUUCACUGCUAUAAUAAUCAAGGAGGAAUAUCUGGAAGACACCACUGACAACUCAGAUGACGAAGCAGUGACAGGAAUGAAGACAACCAAGGCAGAGACUGGUGAAGCUCAUGAUUUCACUGCUAUAAGAAUCAAGGAGGAAUAUCUGGAAGACACCAUUGACAACUCAGAUGACGAAGCAGUGACAGGAAUGAAGACAACCAAGGCAGAGACUGGUGAAGCUCAUGAUAUCACUGCUAUAAGAAUCAAGGAGGAAUAUCUGGAAGACACCACUGACAACUCAGAUGACGAAGCAGUGACAGGAAUGAAGACAACCAAGGCAGAGACUGGUGAAGCUCAUGAUAUCACUGCUAUAAGAAUCAAGGAGGAAUAUCUGGAAGGUAGGACGCCUUUUGUGUGGUUUUCCUGAAAGAAUGAGCACAUUUUCUUCCUUGGGUCAAAAAGUUCCUUUUUGAGUUUCUAAUUGCAAAAUGACAGCUGCAGUUUUUUGAAAGAACAAUAGAAAGAAGCUGCCACAUAAUACACACAAUUUUUUAAUAAUCUUUUAAGUUUUGUUAACAUUGUGAUAGCUAAGAAACCAGUGACAGAGAUCAACUAAAGUCCAACAGCUCCCCAUCUGCUGGUACAAAG